rnacentral:rRNA from 1 species
UACAGAGGUCCCAAGCGUUGUUCGGAUUCACUGGGCGUAAAGGGUGCGUAGGUGGUGUGGUAAGUCGGAUGUGAAAGCUCGGAGCUCAACUCCGAAAUGGCAUUGGAAACUACCUUGCUCGAGGGUUGGAGGGGGGACUGGAAUACUUGGUGUAGCAGUGAAAUGCGUAGAUAUCAAGUGGAACACCAGUGGCGAAGGCGAGUCCCUGGACAACUCCUGACACUGAGGCACGAAAGCUAGGGGAGCAAACAGG